GAGAUAUCUUUUCAAACGAUGAUCGAUUUCUAUCUAUUCCUGUCCCUGUAUUUGAGAUGAAUGUUAUGAAAACGUAUCAAAACCAAUUUAUAUGUCACUAUUCAAGACUGUCAUCCAUUCUUGAUAUGGCGCUGCUUAUUAGUCAACACGAUUGUAGAAAGAUGACGAAGUUAAAGAAACCAAAGCAACACAAAAUACACUUAGUAAUUUUCAAAAAGAGUUAGACGAGACGUGGAAGGGUAUGGGAUGGUUAUUGGACAUUCUACACUAUACACGUGAUAGAGAAUGCGUCAGUGGUAUACCGCUGGAUCUCGUUUUUGACACCCAAUGACCCUGUGGUCCGGAAGCCGACGAUUGUCAUCGGAAGCACUCGGAACUGAAAAACUUGAGUACAAUAACUACAAAUAGUGAUGCUUCGAGUUUAGAAAGUGGAGUUCUGAAGAUUUAUUCCUCAUGUGAGACUGGUCUUCCUCCAGGAAGAAGUGUAAAGCUUCACGUAUCCUCCGACACAACAGUAGAACAAGUUGUGUACUUGGUUGUUCGCCAUUAUUCUACAAUUUAUCCAUUUCUAUCCCUCUUAGCUUCACGUAUCCUUCAACACAACUGU